rnacentral:rRNA from 1 species
UACGAAGGGGGCUAGCGUUGCUCGGAAUUACUGGGCGUAAAGCGCACGUAGGCGGAUAGUUAAGUUGGGGGUGAAAGCCUGGAGCUCAACUCCAGAACUGCCAUUGAAACUGCAAGACUGGAGUACGAGAGAGGUGAGUGGAAUUCCCAGUGUAGAGGUGAAAUUCGUAGAUAUUGGGAAGAACACCAGUGGCGAAGGCGGCUCACUGGCUCGUAACUGACGCUCAGGCGCGACAGCGUGGGGAUCAAACAGG